UACGUAGGGUGCAAGCGUUAUCCGGAUUACUGGGCGUAAAGCGCGCGCAGGCGGUCGUUCAAGUCGCGUGUGAAAGCCCCCGGCUCAACUGGGGAGGGUCACGCGAUACUGAUCGACUGGAAGGCAGGAGAGGGUAGUGGAAUUCCCGGUGUAGUGGUGAAAUGCGUAGAUAUCGGGAGGAACACCAGUGGCGAAGGCGACUACCUGGCCUGUUCUUGACGCUGAGGCGCGAAAGCUAGGGGAGCAAACGGG
rnacentral:rRNA from 1 species